rnacentral:rRNA from 1 species
UACGAAGGGGGCUAGCGUUGCUCGGAAUCACUGGGCGUAAAGGGUGCGUAGGCGGGUCUUUAAGUCAGAGGUGAAAUCCUGGAGCUCAACUCCAGAACUGCCUUUGAUACUGAGGAUCUUGAGUACGGGAGAGGUGAGUGGAACUGCGAGUGUAGAGGUGAAAUUCGUAGAUAUUCGCAAGAACACCAGUGGCGAAGGCGGCUCACUGGCCCGAUACUGACGCUGAGGCACGAAAGCGUGGGGAGCAAACAGGG